AUGACCUUAGCUCAGUUGGAAGAGCGCGAGACUGCAAUGGAUAACCACGUCCGAUUUCUUCGGGAUCUUGAGGUCGCUUGUUCGAGGCAAGCAGGUCGGA